rnacentral:snoRNA from 1 species
UUGCUGCUAAGGCUUCCACUAGAGAUGCAAGAAAAAAAAAAAUCCUCGUGCUUUCUGUCUGUCUCACUGUGGCAGUCAAGAUUAAACAGGAGAGUACAGGC